CAAAUGAAGAAGAGCGCAUGGGGGACGUCUUGGCGUCGGAAGGCUUUGAAGGGCGUGGUAAACUGCGAUAAGCUACGGUGAUCCGUUAAACAGGAGUUGACCCGUAGAUACCCGAACUAACUUAGACUGAAUACAUAGGUCUAUGUUGCAAACCUGGAGAACUGAAACAUCUAAGUACCCAGAGGAGUAGAAAGAAAAAUCGAUUCCGUAAGUAGCGGCGAGCGAAAGCGGAGUAGCCCAAACCAGACUCAUUUUGAGACUGGGGUUGUAGGACACUCUUUGUGAGUAAGAAAACAGAAAGAUAGCGGAAACCAUUUGGAACGGUGGAACCAUAGAGGGCGAACGUCCCGUACGCGAAAUUUUUCUGUCUCCUGAGUGUAUCCUGAGUAGGUCGAGUCACGUGAAACCUUGACUGAAUCCGCGAGGCCCAUCUCGCAAGGCUAAAUACUCUCCGACGACCGAUAGUGCACAGUAGAGCGAUCGAAAGAUGAAAAGAACCCCUUUUAGGGGAGGGAAAGAACCCGAAACCAUGCGUUUACAAGCGGUCGGAGCACAAUUUAAUGUGCGACGGCGUGCCUUUUGGAUAAUGAUCCGGCGAGUUAUCGUUUGCAGCAUGAUUAAGCGCUUCCGGCGCGAAGUCUUAGGGAAACCGAGUCUGAAUAGGGCGUUAAGUUGCGGGCGAUAGACGCGAAACCCAGUGAUCUACCCAUGAGCAGGUUGAAGCGCGGGUUAUACUGCGUGGAGGACCGAACCCACUUGGGUUGAAAACCGAGGGGAUGACUUGUGGGGAGGAGUGAAAGUCUAAUCAAACUGGGAGAUAGCUCGUUCUCUCCGAAAUAGCUUUAGGGCUAGCCUUGAGCCACUAUGUUACGGGGGUAGAGAUACUGAACUGUUGAGGGGCCCUUCCCGGGGUACCCUCUCUAACCAAACUCCGAAUACCGUAAUAACUAUCUCAGGAGUGAGUCCGCGAGGGAUAAGCUUCGCGGUCAAGAGGGAAACAACCCAGAUCGCCAACUAAGGCCCCAGAUAGAUACUUAGUCACUAAGGAAGUUUUAUUGCCGAGACAGCCAGGAUGUUGGCUUAGAAGCAGCCAUCAUUUAAAAAGUGCGUAAUAGCUUACUGGUCGAGCAGUAAAGCGCCGAUAAUGAACGGGAGUAAGUAUCUAGCCGAAGUUGCGGAAUCGCAAGAUUGGUAGGAGAGCGUUGUAUGAAAGACACGAGGCGUACCGUAAGGAGCGCUGGCGGUUCAUACAAGCGAUUAUGCCGGAAUGAGUAACGAUAAGACAGGUGAGAAUCCUGUCCGCCGCAAGCCUAAGGUUUCCUGGGGAAGGUAAUUCCGCCCAGGGUAAGCCGGUACCUUAGUUAAGGCCGAAAGGCGUAGACGAUGGACAUAAGGUUAAUAUUCCUUAGCUUUCUCAAGUUUCUGCAUAGGGACGGCGUUAGAACGACGAUCGGGGUGUUGGACAUCCCCGUUGCGCAAGCGCGACAGCUUGAUCUGGAAGUCGUCGGGAUAACGUCCAAGAAAAGCUUUUGUAGGUUAAGCUUGAGAGAACCGUACUAAAACUGACACAGGUAGGCGAGUAGAGCAUACUAAGGCGCUCGGGAGAACGCUGGUUAAGGAACUCUGCAAAAUGGCCCCGUACGUUCGCAAUAAGGGGCGCCGUCAAAUAAGUUUAUUCGUUUUGACGGCCACAGUAAAUCGGCAACAGCAACUGUUUAUCAAAAACACAGGACCGUGCCAACAAGUAAUUGGAAGUAUACGGUCUGACGCCUGCCCGGUGCCGGUAAGUCAAGGAAGUAGGUUAUCGCAAGAGAAGCUUACGACCAAAGCUCCGGUAAACGGCGGCCCUAACCUUGAGGGUCCUAAGGUAGCGAAGUUCCUUGUCGGGCAAGUUCCGACCUGCAUGAAAGGCGUAAUGACUGUUGCACUGUCUCAACCGGCGGCCCGGUGAAAUUGUAGCCGUGGUGAAGACGCCACGUACCCGCAGUAAGACGGAAAGACCCCGUGAACCUUUACUGUAGGCUGAAAUUGGUCAGAGGCCUGUUUUGUGUAGGAUAGGUGGGAGGCGAAGAACUAUAGGCGUCAGCUUGUAGGGAGCCAACGUUGAAAUACCACCCUGAAUAUGCUUUUGCUCUAACGUCGAUUCCCUUGAAUCAGGGCGACGGACAUUUUCAGUUGGGCAGUUUGACUGGGGCGGUCUCCUCCUAAAGAGUAACGGAGGAGUCCAAAGGUUGCCUCAGCCUGUUUGGCAAUCAGGCAAAGAGCGUAAUGGUAGAAGGCAGCUUGACUGCGAGACCCAUAAGUCGAGCAGAGACGAAAGUCGGGCAUAGUGAUCCGGUAGUCCCGUAUGGCAGGGCUAUCGCUCAUCAGAUAAAAGGUACUCCGGGGAUAACAGGCUUAUCGCUCCCGAGCGUCCACAGCGGCGGAGCGGUUUGGCACCUCGAUGUCGGCUCAUCGCAUCCUGGGGGUGGAGGAGCUCCCAAGGGUUUGGCUGUUCGCCAAUUAAAGCGGUACGUGAGCUGGGUUCAGACCGUCGUGAGACAGGUCGGUCCCUAUCUGCUGUGGGCGCACGAAAUUUGAGGAGGUAUCUCUUUAGUACGACAGGAUUUAGAGGUAGGUAGCUCUGGCGUUCCAGUUGUCAGGCCACUGGCAUGGCUGGGUAACUAACUACCGAAAGGAUAAACGCUGAAAGCAUAUAAGCGUGAAGCCUUCUCCGAGAUAAGAUUUCGUAGAUUAUGUCGAGAGUCCCCAGGGAGACUACCUGGUUGAUAGGCCGGAUGUGUAAUUUCAGUAAUGGAUUUAGCUAACCGGUACUAAUGGACGA
rnacentral:rRNA from 1 species